UACGGAGGGUGCAAGCGUUAAUCGGAAUUACUGGGCGUAAAGCGCGCGUAGGCGGCUCUUUAAGUCGGAUGUGAAAGCCCCGGGCUCAACCUGGGAACUGCAUCCGAUACUGGAGGGCUAGAGUGUAGGAGAGGGAGGUAGAAUUCCAUGUGUAGCAGUGAAAUGCGUAGAUAUAUGGAGGAAUACCAGUGGCGAAGGCGGCCUCCUGGCUUAACACUGACGCUGAGGUGCGAAAGCGUGGGGAGCAAACGGG
rnacentral:rRNA from 1 species